rnacentral:rRNA from 1 species
GACGAACGCUGGCGGCGUGCUUAACACAUGCAAGUCGAACGGAAAGGCCCUGCUUUUGUGGGGUGCUCGAGUGGCGAACGGGUGAGUAACACGUGAGUAACCUGCCCUUGACUUUGGGAUAACUUCAGGAAACUGGGGCUAAUACCGGAUAGGAGCUCCUGCUGCAUGGGGGGGGUUGGAAAGUUUCGGCGGUUGGGGAUGGACUCGCGGCCUAUCAGCUUGUUGGUGGGGUAGUGGCUUACCAAGGCUUUGACGGGUAGCCGGCCUGAGAGGGUGACCGGCCACAUUGGGACUGAGAUACGGCCCAGACUCCUACGGGAGGCAGCAGUGGGGAAUAUUGCACAAUGGGCGGAAGCCUGAUGCAGCAACGCCGCGUGCGGGAUGACGGCCUUCGGGUUGUAAACCGCUUUCGCCUGUGACGAAGCGUGAGUGACGGUAAUGGGUAAAGAAGCACCGGCUAACUACGUG